UACGAAGGGUGCUAGCGUUGUUCGGAAUUACUGGGCGUAAAACGCGUGAAGGUGGUUUAGUAAGUUGAAAGUAAAAUCCCAGGGCUCAACCUUGGAACUGCUUUCAAAACUGCUAGGCUAGAGUGCGGUAGAGGAUGAUAGAAUUCCUAGUGUAGAGGUGAAAUUCUUAGAUAUUAGGAGGAAUACCGAUGGCGAAGGCAAUCAUCUGGGCCGUUACUGACACUAAUACGCGAAAGCGUGGGGAGCAAACAGG
rnacentral:rRNA from 1 species